GACUGAUGCAAAACUUCCUGACUUCCAAGCCGGUGCAGAAAGAGCUUAUACCGCGGUCGCCGCUGCUAUGGCUGGAGGAAAUAUUGUCUACGAGGCAG
rnacentral:ncRNA from 1 species